AACGAACGCUGGCGGCAUGCCUAACACAUGCAAGUCGAACCAUGCUUUCGGGCAUAGUGGCGCACGGGUGCGUAACGCGUGGGAAUCUGCCCUUGGGUUCGGAAUAACAGUGAGAAAUUGCUGCUAAUACCGGAUGAUGUCUUCGGACCAAAGAUUUAUCGCCCAGGGAUGAGCCCGCGUAGGAUUAGCUAGUUGGUGGGGUAAUGGCCUACCAAGGCGACGAUCCUUAGCUGGUCUGAGAGGAUGAUCAGCCACACUGGGACUGAGACACGGCCCAGACUCCUACGGGAGGCAGCAGUGGGGAAUAUUGGACAAUGGGCGCAAGCCUGAUCCAGCAAUGCCGCGUGAGUGAUGAAGGCCUUAGGGUUGUAAAGCUCUUUUACCCGGGAUGAUAAUGGCAGUACCGGGAGAAUAAGCUCCGGCUAACUCCGUG
rnacentral:rRNA from 1 species